GAUGAACGCUGGCGGCGUGCUUAACACAUGCAAGUCGAACGGAAAGGCCCAAGAUUGCUUGGGUACUCAAGUGGCGAACGGGUGAGUAACACGUGGGUGAUCUGCCCUGCACUUCGGGAUAAGCCUGGGAAGCUGGGUCUAAUACCGGAUAGGACCACAUUAUGGAUGGUGUGGCGGAUAGAUAGUCGGUGUGGGAUGAGCUCGCGGCCUAUCAGCUUGUUGGUGGGGUAAUGGCCUACCAAGGCGCCGACGGGUAGCUGGCCUGAGAGGGUGUACGGCCACAUUGGGACUGAGAUACGGCCCAGACUCCUACGGGAGGCAGCAGUGGGGAAUAUUGCACAAUGGGCGCAAGCCUGAUGCAGCGACGCCGCGUGGGGGAUGACGGCCUUCGGGUUGUAAACUCCUUUCGCUAGGGACGAAGCGCAAGUGACGGUACCUGGAGAAGAAGCACCGGCUAACUACGUG
rnacentral:rRNA from 1 species